ACGGAAGGCAGCAGUGGGGAAUAUUGCACAAUGGAGGAAACUCUGAUGCAGCAACGCCGCGUGAAGGAUGAAGGUCUUCGGAUUGUAAACUUCUGUCCUUAGGGAAGAUAAUGACGGUACCUUUGGAGGAAGCCCCGGCUAACUACGUGCCAGCAGCCGCGGUAAUACGUAGGGGGCAAGCGUUAUCCGGAAUUAUUGGGCGUAAAGAGUGCGUAGGUGGUUACCUAAGCGCGGGGUGAAAGGCAUCGGCUUAACCGAUGUUAGCCCUGCGAACUGGGCUACUUGAGUGCAGGAGGGGAAAGUGGAAUUCCUAGUGUAGCGGUGAAAUGCGUAGAUAUUAGGAGGAACACCAGUGGCGAAGGCGACUUUCUGGACUGUUACUGACACUGAGGCACGAAAGUGUGGGGAGCAAACAGGAUUAGAUACCCUGGUA
rnacentral:rRNA from 1 species